rnacentral:rRNA from 1 species
UACGUAAGGAGCAAGCGUUGUUCGGAAUCACUGGGCGUAAAGGGCGUGCAGGCGGUCAGGUAAGUGGGAUGUGAAAUGCCCCGGCUCACCCGGGGACCGGCAUCUCAUACUGCUUGGCUUGAGUACGGGAGAGGAUGUGGGAAUUCCUGGUGUAGCGGUGAAAUGCGUAGAUAUCAGGAGGAACACCGGUGGCGAAGGCGCACAUCUGGCCCGAUACUGACGCUGAGGCGCGAAAGCUAGGGGAGCAAACGGG